AACAAAGCAUUGCGAUGGUC
rnacentral:snRNA from 1 species